rnacentral:rRNA from 1 species
UACAGAGGGUGCGAGCGUUGUCCGGAAUCACUGGGCGUAAAGGGCGCGUAGGCGGCCUGAUAAGUAGGGGGUGAAAUCUUGCGGCUCAACCGCAAGGCUGCCUUCUAAACUGUCAGGCUGGAGCACGGUAGAGGCAGAUGGAAUUCCCGGUGUAGCGGUGGAAUGCGUAGAGAUCGGGAAGAACACCAGUGGCGAAGGCGGUCUGCUGGGCCGUUGCUGACGCUGAGGCGCGAAAGCGUGGGGAGCAAACAGG